GCCCAGGGUUGGUUCCUCCUUUUGCAUCGCCGUUUUUUCCCCGAUAAUUCUGAUGAGUAACGAGAACGAGUAACCGAACGCAAGCUAAGCCGUAUUUUACUUUCACCGACUUUUGUGUCGCGAAACACAUCCGUUUUUUAUGGCUACGUUCAUUCACGGCCGAAAAAUCCCAUAGUUUCAGGAAUGACAGAGCUUGUGGCCACACGGUGGACGCGGUGGGUGCAAACCGGAGGAUCCGGUUCGGGCCGAGCAGGAUCGGCUCGAAGAAUUGUAGCAGAACGUGGCCGAUCCUGAGCUCCCGCUAUUUUGGUGAGUCAAGAACAAAGAUUUAAGAUAAUGGGUCUUUCAGUGGACAUUUAGAAGAAAGGCGUUGCGAUUCACAUCAGAGAGUAAAUUUUUGCAUACUGUUAUAUGAAUACAGCCAGAGCAAUUGUAUUUAAUAAUGAGAAGAAAGCGACGCUUCGUGUAAUCGCAAUCGCGUGUAUUUCCGUUAUUGUAUAUACGAAAAGCGCUUAAAAAGCACACCCAAAGCUUCGUUUCAUUUGGUAAGCCAUUUCGUCGAGCUUGCUUUACGAGUUACAUUCGAAAAGUUUCGAAAGCGUGGAUUGCGAGACGCUUCGUUGAAAACAAAGUCUGUUUGAAGUUGUUCGUUAAACGAAGCGCAUACUUACCGCUGAAUCGAAUAUGUGAUACACUUACCCUCGUAGAUUAAUUUGCAGAUAAUAUUGGAUUACCGAGCGUCGUUUUCUCGUGACAAAAUUUGCACAGGGUUAUCGUUUUUUACACGAUGGGAACUCGUUCUGAUAAUAACAUCGCGACGCGACCUGCGCUCUUCGACAACGAUAACGCUAUCGAAGCGAGCUGAAGAGCCGGAUCAUUCGAGUCGUCACCGACGCUCUCCAUCACGCUUACAGUCCAUACUGUA